rnacentral:rRNA from 1 species
GACGAACGCUGGCGGCGUGCUUAACACAUGCAAGUCGAACGGAGUGGCGAACGGGUGAGUAACACGUGGGUGAUCUGCCUUGCACUUCGGGAUAAGCUUGGGAAACUGGGUCUAAUACCGGAUAGUGCAAGAUGAGAUGGCGGCCUAUCAGCUUGUGGGUGGGGUAAUGGCCUAACAAGGCGUCGACGGGUAGCCGGCCUGAGAGGGUGUACGGCGACAUUGGGACGGAGAUAGGGCCCAGACCCGAACGGGAGGCAGCAGUGGGGAAUAUUACGCAAUGGGCGGAAGACUGAUGCAGCGACGCCGCGUGGGGGAUGAAGGCCUUCGGGUUGUAAACUCCUUUCGACAGGGACGCGGUACCUGUAUAAGAAGCACCGGCUAACUACGUGCCAGCCGCCGCGGUAAUAC